rnacentral:rRNA from 1 species
UACGGGGGGAGCAAGCGUUGUUCGGAUUUACUGGGCGUAAAGGGCGCGUAGGCGGCCUCCGCAAGUCAGUUGUGAAAUCUCCGAGCUUAACUCGGAAAGGUCAACUGAUACUGCGGGGCUAGAGUGCGGAGGGGGCAACUGGAAUUCUUGGUGUAGCGGUGAAAAUGCGUAGAUAUCAAGAGGAACACCUGCGGCGAAGGCGGGUUGCUGGGCCGACACUGACGCUGAGGCGCGAAAGCUAGGGGAGCGAACGGG